AGAGUUUGAUCCUGGCUCAGGAUGAACGCUGGCGGCGUGCUUAACACAUGCAAGUCGAACGGUGAAGCCCCGCUUGCGGGGUGGAUCAGUGGCGAACGGGUGAGUAACACGUGAGCAACCUGCCCCUGACUCUGGGAUAAGCGCUGGAAACGGCGUCUAAUACUGGAUACGAGACGUGAUCGCAUGGUCAACGUUUGGAAAGAUUUUUCGGUUGGGGAUGGGCUCGCGGCCUAUCAGCUUGUUGGUGAGGUAAUGGCUCACCAAGGCGUCGACGGGUAGCCGGCCUGAGAGGGUGACCGGCCACACUGGGACUGAGACACGGCCCAGACUCCUACGGGAGGCAGCAGUGGGGAAUAUUGCACAAUGGGCGCAAGCCUGAUGCAGCAACGCCGCGUGAGGGAUGACGGCCUUCGGGUUGUAAACCUCUUUUAGCAGGGAAGAAGCGAGAGUGACGGUACCUGCAGAAAAAGCACCGGCUAACUACGUGCCAGCAGCCGCGGUAAUACGUAGGGUGCAAGCGUUAUCCGGAAUUAUUGGGCGUAAAGAGCUCUUAGGCGGUUUGUCGCGUCUGCUGUGAAAUCUGGGGGCUCAACCCCCAGCCUGCAGUGGGUACGGGCAGACUAGAGUGCGGUAGGGGAGAUUGGAAUUCCUGGUGUAGCGGUGGAAUGCGCAGAUAUCAGGAGGAACACCGAUGGCGAAGGCAGAUCUCUGGGCCGUAACUGACGCUGAGGAGCGAAAGGGUGGGGAGCAAACAGGCUUAGAUACCCUGGUAGUCC
rnacentral:rRNA from 1 species